rnacentral:rRNA from 1 species
AUCUGUAGCCAGCACUACUACACCCUCUGUGAUUUCAUAAACUAAGCAAGGUUGGGCCUGGUCAGUACUUGAAUGGGAUAUCUCCUGUGCAAAGCCAUGUGCUGCAGGAA